CAAUAGUAUGUGCUUAAUGAAGAAUUUCUUGGUAGCUACUAAUGAUAAUGAUAACGUACGCUGCGUGACUGGACAUGUUAACUAGACAAAUCUAUAAUUCUGUAAUAGUAUGGGAUUAUGAAGAAUUUCUUGGUAGCUACUAAUGAUAAAGUACGCUGUGUGACUGGACAUCUUGACUAGACAAAUCUGUAAUCCUGUAAUAGUAUUGGCAUUAUGAAGAAUUUCUUGGAAGCUACUGAUUAUAACGAUAAUAUAGCUUCAUCACUGGACAACUUGACUAAACAAUCCUUUUAUAACAUCUGUUUAAUGGAGAAUCUGUAGGUUUCUGUAAAGUGAUUUCUAUGUAAAGUGAUAUGGUAUGUUGAACUAUUAGAAGUUUGGUGUUCGUUUGGGCAAUCCUUGUAUUCGUUCUCUUAUCUAUUAUGUGUUCGUCGUAAGAAAGUAAAUAUAUAUGGCUUAUCUUUGGUAAUUAUCAGAAGUCCAAAACGUUUUUCCCAAAAAAACUGUUUAUUUGGUAUUGCAUGUAACACUGAAGAAAAGGGUGCAGUCAACAGUAUCAAUCAAUCAUUGAAAAUUAGUUUAGAAUCAAGAGGUAAGCCUAGUACAAAAAUCUACAUUUCAUCGACCUUUUAUUUUAUGGGAAAUAAACUUCCUCAGUAUUGUGAGUAGUACAGUCUUGAUCAAAUUAAUGCUAAAAGUUUCCCAUAAAUUCAUUUCUCUCAUGAUAUUCCGCCAAUUCCAAGGCUAAUAGGAAAUUUUUUUCACUGAACAAACAAUGAACCCAAUUCCACCCCAAAAUGUCAUGUUACACAGCUUCUGUUUCUUUCUUUUUUUUAAUAAUAAUAUUUAUCCGUUGUAUAACCAAAAAUCGCGCAAUCCGGAACUCGCUGCUAUGUAGGCAAACAAAGCUUUGCGAAAGAAAACAGCGCCCGCAAUACAGGACGUCAUCAAUCAGAAUCGGCGCGACCUGGAAAAGUGAAAAAGUAAUAAUCAUCAAAACUGUUUCGACACAGUGUUGGGAAACGUCGACGGAAGGGUCUAUUUACCAUUUUGAGGAAGUACGACGACCGAGAACUCGCUCUACACCCAGUGGUCGCUUUAACGUUAAGGUCAUUUCUACCUUCGUUUACUUCGGCUAUGAGGAAGUUAACAUUCCAGCAUACUUUCAUGUACAACUUGACACAGAUUUGGUGGUAAUUCAUAUUCAGACAGGCGAACAAGAUGGCCAGAAUGAUCUUGCUUAAGGUCCCGCGGGGCAGGGAAACACAAUUUGAUAAUUAUUGAGAACAUUCAUGCCCUCCAAACUGAUUUGCUGAUCGUUCUCUAACAAGUUUCUACAGCUAUUAAAGUGUUGCCACUCGUAUUUAUUUAA